GUGGGGAAUCUUGCGCAAUGGGCGAAAGCCUGACGCAGCCAUGCCGCGUGAAUGAUGAAGGUCUUAGGAUUGUAAAAUUCUUUCACCGGGGACGAUAAUGACGGUACCCGGAGAAGAAGCUCCGGCUAACUUCGUGCCAGCAGCCGCGGUAAUACGAAGGGGGCUAGCGUUGCUCGGACUUACUGGGCGUAAAGGGCGCGUAGGCGGACAGCUUAGUCAGAGGUGAAAGCCCAGGGCUAAACCUUGGAAUUGCGUUUGAUACUGGCUGUCUUGAGUUUGGGAGAGAUGAGUGGAACUCCGAGUGUAGAGGUGAAAUUCGUAGAUAUUCGGAAGAACACCAGUGGCGAAGGCGACUCACUGGCCCAAUACUGACGCUGAGGCGCGAAAGCGUGGGGAGCAAACAGGAUUAGAAACCCUGGUAGUCC
rnacentral:rRNA from 1 species